CUUGCUUCUUACGCCGACUUUGUCCUGAGUAAAAGUACAGCUUUUGACACUUUCACACUCUGCUUAGUCACGUCAGCUUGACUUAACAUUUCGCUCUACUGUCUCUUUUAAUUUAACGCCUAAUAUAGAUGUUGCAGACUUAACCGAGCUGCACGUACUGUUCAGUGUGGAAUAUCUCGCCGGCAACCUGCUGGCCCAACCUACAUUUUCCUCCUGCAUAGUCACAUCCCUGAGCUAGGCCACUCGGCGGUGGAAGAGAAGUUCAAGCGUUCAAAAGAAAAUAAUGACGACAUCAUCAAUGGUCGUCGCCCUGCUCUGUGCAGUAGCGCUUUUACUGUUUGUUGGUCCGGCUGACAGCAUCGUGUGCCCGCCAGGAUACUGCCAACAACAGCAAUGCAAGCCAGUGGACGAAGCUACGUGUAACGGAAUAGUGAAGCCAAAUGCGACCUUCUGCCAGUGCUGUCCGGCCUGCAUCAAACUGCUUGGUGAAAAGGAGUCUUGUUUCAGUCUUCAAUUGAGAGGAGGAUCACCGCCAAAAGAACAAUGCUCUGAUGGUCUGUACUGCGAUCCCGAAACGACGAAAUGCACUCCAAUACCCUCCCCGUGAAUCAUGCUUGCCUAUUUAACACGCGAACAGUACUAGCAUAAUGUCGCUUAUUUUCGAAUUUUGCGUUAUCAAAAUGAGAGCACUCAUUUAAGGGAA
rnacentral:lncRNA from 1 species